GGAUAUGAGGGUGAUCUGGCUGCAACAUCUGUCACCCCAUUGAUCAGCAAGUUUGAUUUGGCUGAUCUAGCUGGUUAGGCAGCCAGAGUGCAUUCCCUACUCCGAGUGCAUCCCUCCCAAAGCUUUGUGCUCAAUGGAAGAAGACCACCUACCCACCAAAGGAGGACUGUCCUUGAGUCAAGGGUAUGUGAGUAGCUACACUCCCCUGCUACAACCUCCAAACAAGCUCCCUAGGUUCUUUCAUAGGAGAACUUAGGAUAGUCAAAUUUCCAAGAUUCCAAUUAAAAAAAUUAUUUUUUUGACCAGCUUUUCUGGUUGUUCUCAAAAAAGGAUUGAUU
rnacentral:snRNA from 1 species